rnacentral:misc_RNA from 1 species
AACGCACAUUGCGCCCAUUAGUAUUCUAGUGGGCAUGCCUGUUCGAGCGUCAUUUCAACCCUUAAGCCCUGUUGCUUAGCGUUGGGAGCCUACAGCUGUAGCUCCUCAAAGUUAGUGGCGGAGUUCGUUCCAACUCUCGGCGUAGUAAUUCUCUCUCGUCUUGUAGUGGUUCGGCCCCCUGCCGUAAAACCCCAAACUUUAUACAGGUUGACCUCGGAUCAGGUAGGAAUACCCGCUGAACUUAA